GACAUGGCGCCGAGCCCGGCCCGCCCGCCUCAGCAUGGGCGGGGCCGGGGCGGGGCGGCCCCUAUAAAAUGCCUCGCGCGGGGCGAGCCGCCCUCUUGUUCCGGCGUGGCUGAGGGUGCUGGGCCGAUGGGACGCCUGAUGUGGUGGGGUCGGGUGUGCAAUGCGGGCAGUUGCCUGGUUUGCUCUACCAUGCUGGAGCCCUGGCAGAUCGGAAUGGGUGCUGCAAAGGCAGUGGGGGUGCUGAGCCUCUGGGAGACCUGAUGUGAUGGCUGUAGCUGGCAGUGACCAAUUGUGUGAUAACAGCAGUUGCCUGGUUUCCUCUGCUAUAUGUGCUGGUGUGGCAGGGGAGAAUGGUUGAGACUUGUCAGAAGUUGUCCUGGGACCUGCUGUGAUUUCAGUGUACUAGCAGAAAGCUGUCUUGUGCUAAUGAUGUCCCUCUCCAUGCUGCUGCCCGUGAUCCCUUCUCCAAGCUACAGCCUUCACAUCACCUUGCAACGGCUCUGGUCUUUUCUCAGAGCUAGGAGGAGUGAUAAAUUGGUGUCCUGCCACCUUACAGAUGGUGUUAUUUUUCUUUCCCUUGGUAUGAGGAGUUUAACUGUAAUGGAUUCUGGAACUUGCUGCAUGUUUAAUGUAAUUGGAUACGUUUGUCUGCAAGGGCUGCAUUCACCACCUGACAGGUCAUGUUAUCUUAAUACAUAAAAGUAAGGAAGCUUCUCCUUAGAGCAAUUGGCAAGUAUGGGAAGAUGGCUUUCUGUGUAAGGAGGGGGGGAUUCAAGUCUUGGCUCUUCCCUGUCACCCAGAAAGCUUUAGUAAUAUAUGAUUGGCAACCUGUAAAGUGGUUAAGGGGCAUCUUGUAUGCUGCAGUGCAGUCUGUGUUUCUGUACUGUUUAGAGCUAUCUUUAAUAAAAUCUGAGUACUGGGUG